CCCCACCCAAAGAGGGAGGGCUAACUUCUGGGGGGUACAGGACCCGAGUCCUAGGGGACCGCGCCCCUGGGCACUCGUCAAGAAGCCCCCCGUCCGACUCACAGGCCUUCUGCGCUCGGCCACCUGACUCGCUGACCGUGGGCCAAAGUCGGGCGGAGCCCUCCCACCUCGAUACCUGCCCCCGCCCCCCCGCCAGCCGCCCCGUAGCCCCGAGGACGCCCCUAACCGCCCUGCUCCUGGGCCUGGAGGGGAAGGCGCCGGCAUCACUCGAAUUGUUUCGCUGAAGGCACCAGGGGACUUCGGACUCAGAGCUGGCCCUGGACCCUCACCUGGCCCUCUCAGACCUGCUUCCCAUUCAACGGUGCUCCGGGAGCCGAACCCAGCAGGCAUUCUCCUCCCCCGCCUUCCCCCAGACGCGCCUGGUUCUGCUACCCCCUGAAGUGGGAGAAACCACCCCCCCUCAAUCCGCCAGCGUGAGACGAUGGGACAGUCAGGGAUGACCUCGGAGACUUUGGAAACCCGGCCCAAACCCUCCUUGUGCAAGUAGGGAAACUGAGGCCCAGAGAAGGGAAGCGACUUGCUAAUAGCAUGCAGCCAGGUUGUGAGUUCAAAACCCUGGGCUACGGUCUCAGGUCACGUGGAAUAAAGGUAGCCCGAGACCCCCAAUUCCCCUCUGCCCUCAAGCCUCUUGAGACAGACUCACACCUCUCUGGGACCCAGUCUCCACUUAGCCACCAGAAAACUGGAAAUGGUACUCCUCGAUGACAUCCUUGGUCUGAGACUCUGCCACAGUCCUUAACUACUAGGCAGCCGCAGCCGACCGCUUUGCGGGGUUCUCCUUCUGUGUCCGUCUACCUCCUCCCUACCCUAGUUUCUUGUUGUCGUCAAGCUCGAUUAGGUGGAUUUGAUGUUGGGCACAAAGGGCCUCCACCAACUUGACAUACACAGGCUCGUCACAGUUGGACGCAAGCAUACAAAGGUGGGUUGGUGAUUGUCGAAGGCUCUGGCGGCUCCGCGGGUUCCCGGUGCUUGGCCACGGUGGGUGAGGGCGGUCUUCAGCGCCUCUUGUAAAGCAGUAUUACUGUCCAGUACACAUCCAGCAGCGACACCUUCCUCCGCCAAGGCGAAGCGGUGGGGCUGAAUCUUGGAUGCACCCCUGCCUCCUGGGUGCGGCUAGAUUUUUAUCGUGCAGUACUGUGUUCUCCAAACAUUCCCGUAACAAGGAUGAUUUUGCUUUGAUAUUUGGAAAGACAGUUAAGAAAGCAGCAAGUCGUGUUUCUUCCGCUUUUCAGCACGUUUGAAAAAUGCAGUUUAUUAAGGACCAUCUAAGGGAUCCAUCACCUAGCAGAUUUUUAUUUAGCAUUUAAAACGUGCCGGCCUGGAGCUAGGCACUGGAGACAGGGAGAAUCAUAGGGGAAGGGAGAACUGCUUCACUGAGUACCUGUUAUUCACCAGGUAUAUUUUUAAAGCAAUCUCUGCUCGAAUUUACGACCCGAUAACGAGUCACGUGCUCUAUUGAGCCGUGUGACUGAGUCAGCCAGGUACCCCUACUAGGUACAUUUCUGAUAUUUACUCAUUUCAUCUUCCCCCCCAUCCUGGGAGGCAGAUUUUCGCAACUAUUAGUGAUACAGAUGAGGAUUCCGAGGCUACCGAAUACCGUGUGCCAAUGGCUAAGGCCAUGCAGGAAGCUGGUGGAAAUCCCGGGCCUGGAAGGCAGGUCCACCUAUUCCAAAGCUUGUGCUCGUUAAUUAUAGACUAUUU
ensembl:lncRNA